UCCUCUUCAAAGUAGAUAGAAAUGUUUCUCUCGUACAUAACUCGUAGGUAGUUCUUGUGGUAAGUAAGUACCACACGGUCGACAUCACAACGACAUUCUAUUACUUAUCAUCUGCGCACUUCGAAAUCUUCUCAAGAAUCCGAUUUAAGGAUAAUUCCUUCCUCGUAUCGAUCAAGUCGUGUAAUAAUAUAAAAAACAAAUAAACAUGACGUUAUUACCACCAACGGUGGAACAACAAAGACGAAUCAAUGAGGAAAUUCCUCCGGAUCCAGAAAUGAGGAAGAGAGAUAUCAUCGCGAUUCGAGAAUGGCUUUCGAAACAAUUGCAUUUGCCAAAUCAUAUGGACGAUAACAGGUUAGAAAAUUUUCUUUUCGGUUGCAAAAAUAGUGUCGAACGUUGCAAACUCAUUCUCGAAAGAUAUUUUAGCGUUCGCACAGCUUUGCCAGAAUUUUUUGCCACUCGCGAUCCACUUUCACAGGAAGUACAAGAUUGUUGCGACGCCAUACAAUAUUUUGUAUUACCGUCUCUAACUGUAGAAGGUUAUCGAGUUACAAUCUUGAGAUUAAACGAUACAGAUAUAGACAAAUUCUCAGUUCAAGCGAUAUCGAGAAGAAUUUUAAUGGUACAGGAUAUUCGUUUAAUAGAAGAACCUUCUUUAUCCAAUGUCAUGGUCAUAGAUCUCGAGGGAUUUACCGCAGUACAUCUUGCUAAAUGCAGUCCAACGCAAACAAUAGUAAGGCGAGCAAUGUUGGCGAUACAAGAUAGUAUGCCUAUGAGACUUUACAGGGUUCAUUUUUUACACGCACCAAAUUUUAUCACCAAUAUUCUUAAUCUAUUUUAUCCAUUGCUCAAAGAAAAAUUAGUGGACAAGUUUCGCGUACACACGGGAGGUGGAGAAGAAUUAUAUUCGUACAUGGAUCAAGAAAUAUUACCAAACGAAUGGGGAGGCAAAGCUGGCACCUUUGAGGAAUUAAAUGAUGCGUGGAGGAAGAAAAUCGAGAGAAACAGAGAUUGGUACUUGAGAGAGGAGAAACUCAGUCGUACGAAUGAGAGCGUUCGUUUGCCAGGAACGAAACCUUCCGGUCUUUUCUUGGAACUCGAUGGCGUUCAAGGUUCUUUCAGAAAACUAAAUAUUGAUUAAAAUAUUCAACUAAGUUGAAUUCAACGAUGAGAUGAGAAGAAUAUCCAUGACAAUAAAACAUGAUAAUAUAUGUACAUGUAUGUGUGUGUGUGUGUGUGUGUGUGUACGGAAAUUGUGUGAGAACGUGUGCGUAGAAAGUAGGUCGAAUAUACAGAAGAAGUAACAACACAGCGGCAAACCAUUCGUUAGAGAAUCCGAGAAGAGAAUGAUUAGUAGCGAAUAGUAUAGUAUAGUAGUAGUGGUACCAGUAGUAGUAACAGCGAUAGUAAUAAUAGUAAUAGUAGUAGUAACAGUAAGGUUUUCUCUUUAGAAUAGACGAAAACACAUGUGACAGUAGUCGGAUAUAAACGCGUCGCGAUACGUCUCGCACUUUUCGUCCGGUGAAGUUUCCGCAAUGUAACAACAACGGCAAGGACGAAAAACGCAGUUUUGCCACGUAAUCCUGGCGUGGCUGAAAAUCGAUAGGGUGCUUGAUAAACGUGGAUGGCGAGCUUUAACGAUACCUAUCUAAAACCAAAUGUUUCUCUUCUAAUACCUGAAAAAUUCUUCGUUG